UCGCUCCUGUGACAUCACAGGUCUGAGAGUGGUUUCAGGAUCCUGGGUAAGUCCUUCAGACUCCAAGAAGCAGAGAUUCCCCACGGAAGGGAAUACUUACCCUCCGUGUUUGUCUCUGGAGGAUGCCGACAUGUGAAAACGAGCUCAAAAAUAGUGUACACAACUACAAUUGUUAAUACUUUCCUGGUGCUUCCUGCACAGCGGGGCUCAUCCAGAGCACAGCGAGUGUCUGAACUCACCAUUUGUGGCAGACCCACAAAGCGGAGUCUGUUCGGAUUCUCCCCGUUUUAAAGGCGAGGAAAGAGAGGCAGGGGAAGAGUUGGUCCUGCCAUUCUGCCUUGGGUGUGGGCCGCUCAUGUCCAAGGGACUCUGGGUGUGUCAUCUACCUCUUUGAGCUUAGGAGACUUGCCUAUCUGUGAAGUGAAGAACAGGCUCAACAGUGCCAUCUCCAGUCUCCAAGAGACAGCAUGCCAUGGCAGAGAUACAAAUGAGACAGCAUACAAAAUCCAGUGGAGAUCCCUAACUCAUCUCAUAGAAAAGGCGGCUCACUGGGCCUCCUGCACAAUAUAUCCAUGAAGGCAACCUGAAUUGAUUAAAGAAAGUCAGCCCUAA